AUCACUCUAAAAGCAACGCAAACACGCGGGAGGGUGGAUUGGUCAUUUCAGUGAUCACUGACAAGUGAGAACGAACCGCCCUGGACGCCGUUUCACCGCAUCAAAUAACUUAUGUUCGGUUGCUGAGAAACCUAAGGAAAGUUCAAGAUUUUUCUCGGCGUCACCAUUUCCGGAUCAGCGCUGAAUCACUCCUUUAAUUAGUUGAAUCCCAGUGUUUGAUCAAUGGAAGCCAAUGAAAGACCUGAAGAAACUGUCUCAAAUGUAAGACAUUCUCUAUAUCUCUCGCUUCUUUUUAAGUCCCUUCUUUUUCCACAAUUAGUUGGCCUGUAAUUACGGUUGGAUUGUGAAAGAAUGCUUUUAAUUUAGGAUUUGGAUUAGUGGUAGUUCUUUAAGAGCAUUGUUGUUUAUUUUACUGAAAUUACAGAAAUAAGAAACCCUAGCUGCUUUUUUUUUUGGCUUUCUUUUACAGUUCUUUUUUGCCCUUUCUAGAUUAAGGAUUGAAUUUGAUGGUUAUCAGUUUAUAUAUUAUAAGCUGUAAUUAAUUAUUAUUGGUUAUUGGAGUUGUUUUUGGUUGCCUUAGUGCAGUCUCAGCUGCGACUGAUUGAGACAUUGUGAGUUGUGUUUUUUGUAGAUGGGAGCUACUUUAUAUUUUAUAGAAUCUUAAGAAGGUUAAGUGUUCUGAUCAUUCCAACGUCUCCUAUGAUGUCUAUUAUUAACAGUGAAAUUACGUGCAACUGUCCAAAGUUGUAUUCAAUACAGCUGGUUUUGAUUGAAAUUACUCAUUGUAGAUUUGCCAACUUCAAGUUUUUCGUGUCAAUGUCAUUUGGUACGAUAGAUGCUUGUGACUUGUAAGGCAUCUCCAGGCUUACAACAACUUCUGUACUAAAUACCAAGUUACCCAUGCGAUUUUUUACAAUAAUUCUCCCUUUCUUUUCUUUCUCCAUUCAGGCAAGUCCAAAAUUGGCUGGAACUGCUAACUGGGGCACAGCAACAGUCAUUGGAGUGUUUGCGGGCAUGCUAUAUGGAGGUAGCAAGGAGGCAGCUGCAUCAGUUGUAAGUUUAUGCUGAUUAAAGCACCACUGCAUUUCUUUGUCACAGUGACUCAUGAUAGUAUUUUAUUGCGACAUUCAUCCAUUUUCAUCGUCCUAAUCUAAUGGGAAUGACCAGAUUUCUUUGUGGAUAUAAAGAUAAGCAUUGAUCAAUUAAAACGAAAAGGAAAAAAGAAUGUGGAAAUUUAAGCUAUCAAUAUUAACUUAAAUGUAGAUAUGUUUCGCUCUUAUUUACCUUAAUUACUUGAGGACUUGGUCACUUGGGAGUGCAUUGGUGCAUCUGUAAUAAGAUGGGAGGAGAGAUAGAAGGUUAUUAUGUUAAACAGUGCAAGUGAAACAUUGAGAAUUAACAGUUUUAGUAGGUGUAAUGAAUAGAAAUCGAAGAGGCAAGAUGAAUGCUUCCCUUAUGCAUGACUAAUGUGCUUGGUUUUUUGCCUUGUGAUACUGGACAUUCAGGAUGCUCUUUUUGACAAUUUUGCUUUCGAGGUUGAGAUUUUUGUGAAGUCAUUAAUAUUCCAUGCAUAUAUAUUAUGUAAGCGAAGCCUCUCUGCUGUAUUAUCUACUGGAAAAAAUAAAAGAAAAAUUAGAAAGAAGAAAGAAAGAAAUGUUGCCUGCUGCAUGUUGAAUGCUGUUUGUUUAGUUAUGCAAAUAGCUGUCCCGUUUAAAUAUGCAUGCAUAUUUUGAAACUUGUGAGGACUUCACUAUGAUUUCAGAGCAAGGAUGCAGAAGUAAUGUUGAAGCUUGGGAGCACUCCAGACAAGCGUGAACAGUAUCGAUUAAUGAGGGAUGCAAUGGAGAAAAGGUUUAUCCGAGUCACUCGUGGUUCAAUAGUUGGUGGAGUGCGCCUUGGAAUGUUCACUGCUGCAUUCUACGGUUUACAAAAUUUGCUGGCUGAGAAACGGGGUUUACAUGACGUUUUCAAUGUUGUGGGAGCCGGUUCAGCCACUGCUGCUACAUUUGGUUUAAUUUGUAAUAAUUCAUAUCCCAUGCAUCAGGCUUUUUUCGGUUGUUGAAUGUACCCUACUUUUCAUUUUCUUAACUAAAUUUGCAUAAUAGUGCCUGGAUCUUUCCGAUGGCGUGCAAGGAAUGUGCUGCUGGGAUCAGUUCUGGGUGCAGCAUUCUGCUUCCCUCUUGGUAAUAAACGCUGUUGGAAAAUGAAUACUAUUCAUUUGAGGAAGGGAUACUUCUAAUAAAGUUAUGCAUCUUGUGACAGGGUGGAUUCACUUGAAGCUUAUAGAGAAAGCAAAUGAAGGAAAUCCGGCCCUUAAUCCUGAUUUAGAUGGAAGGGGACAAGCGAAGAGUGGUGUAGGUGCUGCAAUUGAGAGGCUUGAAGGAAACUUGAAAGCUGAAUGAACAAUCUCAGUUUUGUUGGGCAUAACCUCCUGGACAUCUCAUAGGUCAAAAAUGUAAUACAUUGGCCACACGCCUGGUUCUUUUUCUUCUGUUUUCUCAGUGGUCCAUGAGAGUGAAAUAAUACUACAAUAUUCUCUAUACCUUAGCAAUUUUUAAAGGCUCCUUUUUUUAGAUUUCCUGGGUCUUUCAUUGAUUAAAAAAGAAGAAGAAGAUUUAGCCUUUAGUAUUACUCGGAAAUUCAAGUCUCUCCCCUCCACGGGCG
rnacentral:misc_RNA from 1 species